rnacentral:rRNA from 1 species
ACUCCUACGGGAGGCAGCAGUGGGGAAUAUUGCACAAUGGGGGAAACCCUGAUGCAGCCAUGCCGCGUGUGUGAAGAAGGCCUUCGGGUUGUAAAGCACUUUCAGUAGGGAGGAAGGUAGUGUAGUUAACACCUGCAUUAUUUGUACGUUACCUACAGAAGAAGCACCGGCUAACUCCGUGCCAGCAGCCGCGGUAAUACGGGAGGGUGCGAGCGUUAAUCGGUAAUUACGUGGGCGUAAAGCGCAUGCGAGGCGGCCUGUUAAGUCAGAUGUGAAAGCCCGGGGCUUAACCUCGGAAUUGCAUUUGAAACGUGGCAGGCUGAGUCUUGGUAGAGGGGUUAGAAUUUCAGGUGUAGCGGUGAAAUGCGUAGAGA